ensembl:lncRNA
AACAGUACCUGACAUCAGGAAGUGUCCCCCAAAAAUCUCCCUCUCCUGUUCAACUGUCAACUCUGGCCUUCAUCCUUCUGACUUCAGAAGAGGAGCUGGAAAUGUUUGAUCUGAAGAAAUACUCUGAUUCAGAGGAGGGUCUUCUGAGGUCGCUGCCAGUGGUCAAAGCCUCCAAAACAUCUCUACCAGAGGCAGCAAGGGGUGAAAAGAUGUCCACCCCUCCUCCUUGGUCACUUGGUACGACCCGGCAACACACUUUCUCCCAGAAGUCCCUGGUGUCGGUGACCAGCACACUGCACUCUGAUAGGCUGACAACUAGAAGGUCAAAAGGUGAGAAUAUAUCUGAGAGAUAUCCUCUAUCCAUCGCUAUCUCUUGUCUUUAUAGUGCAACACUUCAAAACUGUUGCUUUAGUUAUUUCACAAUUUUGUUUUAUAUGCACUUAAAGGAUUCAUUAAGGAGAGAGAGAGAGAGAGAGUUUGUCUGUUGGGGGGAACUGGAAUAGAUCUCAACAAUCUUCAUUUCCUCUUUUGCACCACUGCGUAUCCAGAUACGUGUGUGUGUGUGUGUGUGUGUGUGUGUGUGUGUGUGUGUGUGUGUGUGUGUGUGUGUGUGUGUGUGUGUGUGUGUGUGUGUGUGUGUGUGUGUCGGUGUUUGUGUGCGUGGUCUUGUGUUUUUUUCCAUGUCAUCAGAAUGAUUAUUGAGUGUAUUUCACAAUAUAUUCUCAGCCAGGGCAACAUGUCUGUAUUUGGGGGGAUGGCUCUGUGGGGGAAACUCCCCGGCCGUCCGAGCAGCCUUGAAACACCACAUCCCCAUCAGGUCAAACAGUUUAGAACGCCCUGGACCAGAGAUCUGAAGGGCUUCACAGGCCGCUUCUUAAAGGACGCCCCCUGACCUUAGCCCCCCAAAGGGCAGGGAAACCCC